CCGCACUUGUUAAUCAUUUUGCUCGACAAGCUCGUGGUGCUCAAGCUCAACGGAGGCCUCGGCACCACCAUGGGUUGCACCGGCCCCAAGAUUGUCAUUGAAGUUCGCAAUGGGUUUACAUUUCUUGACCUUAUUGUGAUUCAGAUUGAGUCCCUGAACAAGAAGUAUGGAUGCAAUGUUCCUUUGCUUCUAAUGAACUCUUUCAACACUCAUGAUGACACACAGAAGGUC